CUUAACCUCCACUCGCAGCGGAUAGUCGCGUGGCGCAUGCAAAAGUCUCUCUAUUUCGAUCUUAACUACUACUUAUUAAUAUCUUUCUAUCUCAAAAGCUACUCCAAUUAUAUCUCUAUCUCUAUCUUGUGUUAGUCUGUUGUGUUAGUACAGUCUCGCUGCCUCUCUCUAAAUAUCAUUGGAUCUAGGGUUCUGGGUUUCUUUUUCCGCUUCAGUCAAUUGGUCAUUGGCCAUCAAAUCGAGUGGGUGUGGUUGUUCCAUCAUUGGCUUCAGUCCGAUCUCUUUUGUCACCAAUGCCUCCUCGCGCAUCUAAGCGAAAAUCUGCCCCACCCAAUUCCUCAUCCGUCACAUCAUCCGACGGUCGUUCUGGUACAUCCCUCUCCUUUUCUUAUUUUAUUUUUUCCCUUAAAAAAAGUGAUUUUUAUGUGUUUUAUUGUUUGGUAACCGAGAAAGCGCGGGAAAAAGAUCAAUGAAAGUAAAAGAAUUUAAGCGAAAAUCGUACAAUACCCGAUUAUUUCUUAACAGUAGUCAUUGUUAUUUACUCUCUUUUAUUUUAUUUUGGUUUGUCGGUGUGUGAAUGACGACUGCUCCACUCAGAUUAGCUUCUCAGAAACCGUGGGAAAAGAGAAUACGUUAAAUUGAUGAAUUGUGCAUUAACUAUUUUUUAAUCAUCUUCUGUUAAAUCUUAUCCUUUUUUAGGCUAGGAAGCUUCUUAGGAUACAGUCUAAAUCAAUCGAUGGCAAUAUAAAUCUGAUUCGUUCUUUGAUUGAAUUAUUGAACAUAUCUCCUGGGAUUUAUCAAUAUUAUAAUUAAUAUUACAGGUCCUUUUUCACAGCAAUACUCAAGUUAGGGAAAAAUAGCAUAUGAGGGAGAUAAAAAAUAGGGUCUUUUAGCAUUAGAGCUGAAAGUUAAUGCUAGGAGUGAGGAAGACAUGGGUUCAAACUAUUAAAAAGGACUUUGCUUUUUGUUCAUGAUGGUUCUCCAUGUAAUGAGCGCAACUUGGGCUCGUUUUCCUGUUGUCAGUAGGAUUCGUGUCUUUUCGGUCCCCUAACUGGUGUGUGAAUAGCCUUAUAGGGUUUAAUAAUGACUAAAGUAGCAUUCUGAGAAGGUUGAUAUGUAGAAUAUUGAUAAUUUUGGUGGAGAAUUAAUCGUAUGGUGUUUGCUUCUGAAAAUGACUGGAACCGGCAUUCAAAUUGCUAUCUGACUUGAAUGUUAGCUGGAUACAGUAAUGUCUCAAGUAAAGCUAAAAUAAAGGGGCUGGAAAAAAUAGAUCGCUUGUUCAAUACAUAUGCAAAUAGUUCCUUGGGCAUGAUUGAUCCAGAAGGUAUUGAAGCACUCUGUUCAGAUCUAGGAGUGGACUACACUGAUGUGAGGAUAUUGAUGCUCGCUUGGAAACUAAAAGCUGAAAAGCAGGGCUAUUUUACCCAGGAUGAGUGGCAAACAGGCCUUAAAGCAUUGGGGGUUGAUUCACUUAGCAAACUAAAGAAGGCGCUCUCUGAUUUGGAGAAAGAGGUGGAGAAGCCAUCCAAUUAUGAGGAUUUCUAUACCUAUGCAUUUCGAUACUGCUUGACAGAGGAGAAACAGAAGAGUGUGGACAUAGAAAGCAUCUGUGAAUUGUUGAAUCUUGUUCUAGGGGUUCAAUUUCGUCCUCAGAUUGAUUCACUAAUUGAAUAUCUGAAGGUCCAGAAUGAUUACAAAGUAAUAAAUUCAGACCAGUGGAUAAAUUUUCUACGUUUUUGCAAGGAGGUAAACCUUUUGGAAAUGUACAAGUUUGCUAAUUUUAAUUUCUCAUUUGCUGCCAUAACUCAAUACCAUAAAAUUUUCUUUCCAUCAGCAUUUGAAGUCAGUGUUGGCUGCCAGAAUGAAGAAAAACUAAGAAAAGAAAAUGACAUGUAAAUAUAUGAAUAAUUCAUGCUAGAUUCACAUGGUUGACGUAUGUACUUGAUAGUUGAUGAAAAGGCAUUAGUUUCUUUUAUUAUCAUUAUUUUCUUUUUCCUCAAGCAAGCUUGAGGCAUCUAUAAUAACUUUGAAUCGUUGCUAGAACAGAUUAGCUUUCCAGAUCUCGAAAACUAUGAUGCAACCCAAGCUUGGCCCUUGAUCCUUGAUAAUUAUGUUGAAUGGAUGAGAGAAAAGCAUAGCUAGUGUUGCCAUUUUUUGUAUGUCUUGCAGGUUGCUGAUUUCAUAAGGACAAGACCUUGUGGAAAACCUAACCACAGCAACCUUGGAGCUUGGCUCAUAUCAUAACUGAUUAAACUGAUUUUACUGAACCUUUUUCUCUGGUUAAAGCUGCAGUUUUGUUGUCCCCAGAUGGUUUAUACAUUCUGCAUUCAUUAAUAUUUCCUUUUUCCUUUUUACAGUUAGUUAUUUUAAGCAAAAAAAAUAAAGAAAAGAAAAGGAUUUGUUACCCAAUGAAGGAUAUAUUGAUAUAUAGUUUUAAACCAUGUUUUUUUUUAUCACAA